rnacentral:rRNA from 1 species
UACGUAGGCAGCGAGCGUUGUUCGGAGUUACUGGGCGUAAAGGGUGUGUAGGCGGUUGUUUAAGUUUGGUGUGAAAUCUCCCGGCUCAACUGGGAGGGUGCGCCGAAUACUGAAUGACUCGAGUGCGGGAGAGGAGAGUGGAAUUCCUGGUGUAGCGGUGAAAUGCGUAGAUAUCGGGAGGAACACCAGUGGCGAAGGCGGCGACCUGGACGGACACUGACGCUGAGACGCGAAAGCGUGGGGAGCAAACAGGG